UGUAUUUUUAGACAUUUCAGUAGAAAACUAUAUACUCCAGCCGUCAGGAAAAAGUUGUCACCGUGCUAUUUUUGCAGGAACGCCCUUCCCUUUCUCCCGACACAACCCGCGAUCCAUGUCACUGCUCACAUCCCCUCCUGUGUCGCCGCCUGCUCCGUCGCGUCAUCGUCGGCCACCGCGCAACACACCCACGCCGCGCAGCUCCCCCGCGCGUCCUCCCGGUCCCCUGCACAGCUCCCCGCUGAUCCAUUUCCCACACAGCUCCCUCGGGCCUCCUCUCGGUCCAUAGCACAGGAAAAAUUGGUUAUUUCUCCUUUGGAUGACAUGGGGAUGGCGGGGAGGAUAGGUCCGGCGGCGGCGAGAUUCGUGUCCGCGUCUGGAAAGAUCAUCCUCAUCAGCGAGCACGCCUUUCGCUGUGUCCUUCAUCUUUGGCAGGGGAGGGAGGUCCCGGCGCGGUGGAGGUUAAUCUUACAGACUCGGGCCUAGCCUUCUCCUAGCCAUGCCCGCACCUCCUCGAGAGGCUGGGGGAGACCUGCCGCAAGGCGGAGCUGAAGGUCCCGAAGCCUUGCUCCAGGAAGAGUUGGCCGCCAUUGCCAAGCUGGUGGAACUGCAAGAGAUAAGGCCAAGUCAGCAGCUUUGUUCGUCCCACUGAAUAACCUAGGCUUUGUGAGAUUUGUGCAUCUUGGACUUCGACAUCCCUUUUACGAUGAUAAUGGUUACAUGGCAAGUUGUUCUAAUUGUUGUUCCUGCUGUGAUUGGGGUGUUGUACAUUCAGUAAAUAGCAAUGCUACAUUGACAUGGAUGCAACAAUCAGGCGACAAACAGGUUCAUUUAGACAAAUGGCUCAGCACUGAACUUUUA